GCAGUUGACUCACUUGGAGAGUUUGUCUUUAAGACAGCAGUGAGAAUGGCCCUAAGAAUAAGAUCCUGGGUCUUCAUCAGUCUCUACCAAUGGUCAUGAUCUCAUGGUCAUGAGGUUAAGCCCCAGGUCGGGAUAUGCACUGGGCAUGGAGCCUGUUUGAGAUUCCUCUCUCUCUCUCUCUCCCUUUGCCCCUUCCCCAGCUCUCAUGCUCUCUCUCUAUCAAAGAAGAAAAGAAAAAGAAAAGAAAAGGAAAGGAAAGAAAAGAAAAGAAAGAAAAGAACAAAAGUGGAGGGAUAAACAAGCAAAGCAAUUUUCCGAGAUCACACAGCUAUUAAUGGACAGAGGCACACUUCGAAGAAAUAUGGCCAAAGAGGGAGUCAUCACUGUGGAACUUGAAGAAAAGGAAUCUGGACGCUAAAAUAGGCCCAAAAGACUUUUCAUCCACAGCUACAACACCUGAGUCCAGGAGAGAUUUCUCAGGUACUGGAGAAGAGAGUCACAAAGGAGAGAAGCUGCCAGCCUCCACCAACACUUGAAAGAGAAGUGGAGAAGCCCAGGUCCCCAUGGCCCUGUGCCAGCCUGCCUGGUGACCUAUGGUCCUGGUGACCCAGACAUGUGGAAGAGACAUGGAGAACCCAAGGGAGGUUGGAAGGGAAAAACGUGCUUGGUUGGAGACAAGGGAAGGAAAAAUGGGUCGGGGUUCGGGGACAUUUAGAACACCAAGUCUUUGUUUUCAUUUUUUUUUUGCCUCGCUGGAAGGUAUCAAUAUUUAGGUGGUCGCAGAACAAAAUGCAACUAUAGGAACGUCUCACAAUUUACCCAGUAACCGUCAUGGUGACAUUCAUUUCUCAAGUGGUUUCCCAGUUUUACCCUCCCCUCCAGGGCACAGGUCUAUACAUUGGGAUGCUGGAGGAGUAGGGCUUGGGCACUCCCCACAACCACCCUCUGCCUUGCUCUACCCUGGUUAAAAUGGGAGCUUGGGGGGCACAAGCAGAGAAGGAGCAAAAAGGAUUCUACACUUAAUCUCAGUAAGAAUGCUGAGUGCCAGUUAAGAAAAACUGAUGGUGUUUCAAGUCAGAAGAGAUGUGGAUGUGGGGCCAGCACUGGGGUUUAUCUGUGCAAGUUAGGAAAAGGGCACUCCUUUUUUGGCAUGGCAGGUGGAGAGUGGGAUGGAUUUGGUCCCCUCUCUACCUCCCCCAUCCCCAGGCUGGGUGCAGCCUGCCCCAAUGUGGGUGUUGGCUUGGAGUGGGGCCCACUCAGAGGAAGGUCUUGGCACCCAUGCUGGGGAGACAUUUCCUAUGUGACCUGUGUUAUCCUUAUGACUACAAGCCCAGAAAGCUGAGACCCCACUGGUCAGUGCUGGUCCUGCUGAUAUUCUGCCUGUUGAUUUCUGUGAAUUCCCUCCCUUCGCAGGCUCUGUAUAUACGGUAGCCAACCCAUGCGAGAAAACAGCAACUGUGCUUCUGAAACUGACCUAGGGCAGCCACUGCUAGAAGGAAAAUCAGCAAUCUCUCCCUAUUUCAAAGAAAAAGUCAAUAAAAAUG